UACGUAGGGUGCAAGCGUUGUCCGGAAUUAUUGGGCGUAAAGAGCUCGUAGGCGGUUUGUCGCGUCGAAUGUGAAAACCCGGGGCUCAACCCCGGGCCUGCAUUCGAUACGGGCAGACUAGAGUUCGGUAGGGGAGUCUGGAAUUCCUGGUGUAGCGGUGAAAUGCGCAGAUAUCAGGAGGAACACCGGUGGCGAAAGCGGCGCGCUGGACCUCUUCUGACGCUGAGGCGCGAAAGCCAGGGGAGCGAACGGG
rnacentral:rRNA from 1 species